rnacentral:rRNA from 1 species
AGUGAACGCUGGCGGUAGGCCUAACACACGCAAGUCGAACGGCAGCACAGGAGAGCUUGCUCUCUGGGUGGCGAGUGGCGGACGGGUGAGGAAUACAUCAGAAUCUACUUUUUCGUGGGGGAUAACGUAGGGAAACUUACGCUAAUACCGCAUACGACCUACGGGUGAAAGCAGGGGAUCUUCGGACUUUGCGCGAUUGAAUGAGCCGAUGUCGGAUUAGCUAGUUGGCGGGGUAAAGGCCCACCAAGGCGACGAUCCGUAGCUGGUCUGAGAGGAUGAUCAGCCACACUGGAACUGAGACACGGUCCAGACUCCUACGGGAGGCAGGAGUGGGGAAUAUUGGACAAUGGGCGCAAGCCUGAUCCAGCCAUACCGCGUGGGUGAAGAAGGCCUUCGGGUUGUAAAGCCCUUUUGCUGGGAAAGAAAUCCAGCUGGUUAAUACCCGGUUGGGAUGACGGUACCCAAAGAAUAAGCACCGGCUAACUUCGUGCCAGCAGCCGCGGUAA